CAGACGCGUCGCUUACAACAAGCCAGAGCUCUUUUUAUCACUAACCACUGCUUAGGUAAGCAUACACUUCAUAAAACUCUGUUAUAAAUACCUUGGGUUUAAAGAAUGGGUUUAAGGAGCGUUUUUAGAGGUGUCCAGACAAGACAAGACCAGCAUGAGCACAGGUAACUCUGCACGAAAAACAAAUACAAUUAUUUUUGUUCUACUUGAAAAGUAUGUGUGUUAAUGCUACCGCUUAACUCACACCAGGGGGGUCCAACAAUGCUAAUAACGGAGCUCCUGUGGAAGACCGAUUCAACACCUAUUUUCGUGUGUAUGAACGAGCUUUUCGACAGCAGCAACAACAACAACAAGCGCUACUGACACCGCGUGUGUUUGAAUCGGCUAACCACCAUCAACAGCCCCUACCUGACCCUCAAGAAAUUCCAGACGAUGUGCUGCUGAUGCAUACCCCGGCUACUGUUGAGGAAGAAGAAGAGCAACAAUACAGUCAAGAGGGACCGGAAGUUCAGGAUCAAGCCACUCAGACAGCGCCCCCUCAAGACGAGCCUGAUCAGAAACCUGUGAUUCAAGCAGCCCCAGGAGAAACAGCAGUGGUGCCGCCGGAGCCAGAGCCACAAACCGCAGCAGACCCAGAGCCAAAGCGACCGCGCUCGAGCAGGGCUUCGGUCGGAUCAAGCCGUUCAAAGCGUCGGCGUUCAUCAUCUUCUG